CCUACGGGCGGCUGCAGUGAGGAAUAUUGGUCAAUGACCGGAAGGCUGAACCAGCCAAGUCGCGUGAGGGACGACGGCCCUAUGGGUUGUAAACCUCUUUUAUAAGGGAAUAAUACAGGCUACGUGUAGCAUUUUGCCUGUACCUUAUGAAUAAGCAUCGGCUAACUCCGUGCCAGCAGCCGCGGUAAUCCGGAGGAUGCGAGCGUUAUCCGGUUUUAUUGGGUUUAAAGGGUGCGUAGGCGUUUUGUCAAGCUAGUGGUUAAACGUCGGGGCUUCACCUGGCUUUGCCAUGCGUACUGGAGGACUCGAGUUCAGACGAGGUAGGCGGAAUAAGUCAAGUAGCGGUGAAAUGCUUAGAUAUAACUUAGAACUCCGAUAGCGAAGGCAGCUUGCCAGAGUGGGACUGACGCUGAAGCACGAGAGCGUGGGUAGCGAACAGGAUUAGAUACCCUUGUAGUC
rnacentral:rRNA from 1 species